AUUCGAUUCGCCGCAAAUAUGGCGGCGGCGGCGUGACUGUUGCCCGAUUUGGGUUAAAGCGGCCGCGAGCGCAGACGAUCGUGCCUUGAGGA
ensembl:ncRNA F30H5.8 ncRNA